AUACGUAGGUGACAAGCGUUAUCCGGAUUUACUGGGCGUAAAGGGCGUGUAGGCGGUCUUGCAAGUCAGAAGUGAAAUUCCUGAGCUCAACUCGGGCGCUGCUUCUGAAACUGCAGGACUUGAGUGCUGGAGGGGAUAGCGGAAUUCCUAGUGGAGCGGUAAAAUGCGCAGAUAUUAGGAAGAACACCGGUGGCGAAGGCGGUUAUCUGGCCAUUAAUUGACGCUGAGGCGGGAAAGCGUGGGGAGCAAACAGGAUUUGAUCCCCUGGUGGUCCACGCCGUAAACGAUGAAUACUAGGUGUAGGGGGUAUCGACUCCCUCUGUGCCGCAGUUAACACAAUAAGUAUUCCGCCUGGGGAGUACGGCCACAAGGUUGAAACUCAAAGGAAUUGACGGGG
rnacentral:rRNA from 1 species